rnacentral:rRNA from 1 species
CGCGGCCUAUCAGCUUGUUGGUGGGGUAACGGCCUACCAAGGCAUCGACGGGUAGCUGGUCUGAGAGGAUGAUCAGCCACACUGGGACUGAGACACGGCCCAGACUCCUACGGGAGGCAGCAGUGGGGAAUCUUGCGCAAUGGGCGAAAGCCUGACGCAGCAACGCCGCGUGCGGGAAGAAGGCCUUAGGGUUGUAAACCGCUUUCAGUAGGAACGAAAAUGACGGUACCUGCAGAAGAAGGUGCGGCCAACUACGUGCCAGCAGCCGCGGUGACACGUAGGCACCAAGCGUUGUCCGGAUUUAUUGGGCGUAAAGAGCUCGUAGGCGGUUCAGUAAGUCGGGUGUGAAAACUCUGGGCUUAACCCAGAGCCGCCACUCGAUACUGCUGUGACUUGAGUUCGGUAGGGGAGCAGGGAAUUCCUAGUGUAGCGGUGAAAUGCGCAGAUAUUAGGAGGAACACCGGUGGCGAAGGCGCUGCUCUGGGCCGAUACUGACGCUGAGGAGCGAAGGCGUGGGUAGCAAACAGGAUUAGAUACCCUGGUAGUCCACGCCGUAAACGUUGGGCACUAGGUGUGGGUUCCAACCAACGGAAUCCGCGCCGUCGCUAACGCAUUAAGUGCCCCGCC